UACGUAGGGUGCGAGCGUUAAUCGGAAUUACUGGGCGUAAAGGGCGCGUAGGCGGUGUGUCAAGUCAGGCGUGAAAGCCCCGGGCUCAACCUGGGAACUGCGCUUGAGACUGGCACGCUCGAGUUCGGGAGAGGAUGGUGGAAUUCCCAGUGUAGAGGUGAAAUUCGUAGAUAUUGGGAAGAACACCGAUGGCGAAGGCAGCCAUCUGGACCGACACUGACGCUGAGGCGCGAAAGCGUGGGGAGCAAACAGG
rnacentral:rRNA from 1 species